UUGUGUUAUUUCUUGUUUAUUUCACAAGAAAAAAUGUUUUGCAUCUUCAAAGUGGUAGGCAUGUUGUGUAAAUCAAAUGAUACAACCCCCCCCCCAUUUAAAAAAAAAUCCAGGUUGUAGGGCAACGAAAUAGAAAAAAUGCCAAGGGGGUGAAUACUUUCGCAAGCCACUGUAUGUGUACAUCAAGGAUGUGAAAUAUAUAAGAUAUGUCAAAUAUUUGUAAUCACUCCCUUCUUCUGAGGGAACAUAGGGCACAGGGAACAUAGGGCUGUGGGAACAUAGGUUGAUGGAGCAUAGGGCCGAGGGAACAUAGGGCCCAGGGAACAUAGGGCCCAGGGAACAUAGGUUGAUGGAGCAUAGGGCCCAGGGAACAUAGGGCCGAGGGAACAUAGGUUGAUGGAGCAUAGGGCCCAGGGAACAUAGGGCCGAGGGAACAUAGGGCCCAGGGAACAUAGGUUGAUGGAGCAUAGGGCCCAGGGAACAUAGGGCCCAGGGAACAUAGGGUCCAGGGAACAUAGGUUGAUGGAGCAUAGAGCCCAGGGAACAUAGGGCCCAGGGAACAUAGGUUAAUGGAGCAUAGGGCCCAGGGAACAUAGGGCUGCGGGAACAUAGGUUGAUGGAGCAUAGGGCCCAGGGAACAUAGGGCCGAGGGAACAUAGGGCCCAGGGAACAUAGGGCCCAGGGAACAUAGGGCCCAGGGAACAUAGGUUGAUGGAGCAUAGGGCCCAGGGAACAUAGGGCCCAGGGAACAUAGGGCUGUGGGAACAUAGGUUGAUGGAGCAUAGGGCCCAGGGAACAUAGGGCCCAGGGAACAUAGGGCUGUGGGAACAUAGGUUGAUGGAGCAUAGGGCCCAGGGAACAUAGGGCCGAGGGAACAUAGGGCCCAGGGAACAUAGGUUGAUGGAGCAUAGGGCCCAGGGAACAUAGGGCCCAGGGAACAUAGGGCCCAGGGAACAUAGGUUGAUGAAGCAUAGGGCCCAGGGAACAUAGGGCUGUGGGAACAUAGGUUGAUGGAGCAUAGGGCCCAGGGAACAUAGGGCCCAGGGAACAUAGGGCCCAGGGAACAUAGGGCUGUGGGAACAUAAGUUUAUGGAGCAUAGGGCCCAGGGAACAUAGGGUCCAGGGAACAUAGGUUGAUGGAGCAUAGGGCCCAGGGAACAUAGGGCCCAGGGAACAUAGGUUGAUGGAGCAUAGGGCCCAGGGAACAUAGGGCCCAGGGAACAUAGGUUGAUGGAACAUAGGUUGAUGGAGCAUAGGGCCCAGGGAACAUAGGGCCCAGAGAACAUAGGGCCCAGGGAACAUAGGUUGAUGGAGCAUAGGGCCCAGGGAACAUAGGGCCCAGGGAACAUAGGUUGAUGGAGCAUAGGGCCCAGGGAACAUAGGGCCCAGGGAACAUAGGUUGAUGGAACAUAGGUUGAUGGAGCAUAGGGCCCAGGGAACAUAGGGCCCAGGGAACAUAGGGCCCAGGGAACAUAGGUUGAUGGAGCAUAGGGCCCAGGGAACAUAGGGCUGUGGGAACAUAGGUUGAUGGAGCAUAGGGCCCAGGGAACAUAGGGCCCAGGGAACAUAGGGCCCAGGGAACAUAGGGCCCAGGGAACAUAGGGCCCAGGGAACAUAGGGCCCAGGGAACAUAGGUUGAUGGAGCAUAGGGCCCAGGGAACAUAGGGUCCAGGGAACAUAGGUUGAUGGAGCAUAGGGCCCAGGGAACAUAGGGCCCAGGGAACAUAGGUUGAUGGAGCAUAGGGCCCAGGGAACAUAGGGCCCAGGGAACAUAGGUUGAUGGAACAUAGGUUGAUGGAGCAUAGGGCCCAGGGAACAUAGGGCCCAGAGAACAUAGGGCCCAGGGAACAUAGGUUGAUGGAGCAUAGGGCCCAGGGAACAUAGGGCCCAGGGAACAUAGGGCCCAGGGAACAUAGGUUGAUGGAGCAUAGGGCCCAGGGAACAUAGGGCUGUGGGAACAUAGGUUGAUGGAGCAUAGGGCCCAGGGAACAUAGGGCCGAGGGAACAUAGGGCCCAGGGAACAUAGGUUGAUGGAGCAUAGGGCCCAGGGAACAUAGGGCCCAGGGAACAUAUGGCCCAGGGAACAUAGGGCCCAGGGA